GAAGCAGCUGUGCAGUUCGUCAGCCACGCUUAUCUCCGGCUGGAACCGGUGCGAGCAGAUAAUGUCACUGAUGAACGCUGCUCAGCCGGAAUAAAAGCCAGCACUGGCACAGAGAGGGGAGAGCGGGGGAAGACAGCUGAGGCUGUGGGAGCCCUCCAUACCAAUCUCAGGCAGCACUGGUAGGGCACGGGUGAUGCUCCAAAGACCGGAGCUACCUUAGGGCCCAUUGAGCAACUAGCAAGCUGCCAACAUAACACCCAGGAGAGCAGGGCACCCAACCAUCCCUGGAGCCCAGCAAUGAGAAGACCAAAAUUGGAAUCCCAGGGGCACGAAGACCCGGGACCGAUGAGACUGGAGAACAGCCACACUAAGAUCAAGUGACCUGUCUCAGAUGCUGCCAUAUGGAAGGGGUUUAGGGGAGGUGGAGCCCCAUGGAUAUCCAUCAAGAAGUGUGACCGACUCUGAGGAGUCACCACAGGAGACCCCACCACUGAGGAUCCAUUCAAAGUCAUGGCAGGCAAGUUUUGGGGUUUUCCCCGGGGAGAUUGAGGACCCCUCCAGAGGUCACAUGAAUACACACCAGGCCUGAUACCAGGCACAUGUGCCAAAGCAGCGUGUGAAUGGAUACUCGAAAGCAGACGGUCACACCCACCCUUCCCUAAGUACCUUCCAGAACAAGCAGAGGUAACAAUUUGAAGAGGUCUAACAACUCCCUGCGUACUUGUCAUUGUUUUGACUGAAGUCAGUUGAAGAAGCCACAGGGCAACAUUAGACCACAGUGAAGAUCUUUAGAAGCUUGCCUUCUCUGAUGAACUGAAUGAAGAACAAACCAAGAACAGGCAUUUGGCUAUAUUUCAUCAAGGACUCUGGUGAAAUUUUGGGUACCAGCAUC